GACGAACGCUGGCGGCGCGCUUAACACAUGCAAGUCGAGCGAGAACCAGCCUUUCGGGGCUGGGGACAGCGGCGAACGGGUGAGUAACACGUGGGUAAUCUGCCCUCGGCACCGGGAUAGCCCGGGGAAACCCGGAUUAAUACCGGAUGGCCUCUCGAGCCCUCGGGCUCGGGAGACAAGGUAGCUUCAGCCUCCGGCCGAGGAGGAGCCCGCGGCGGAUUAGCUUGUUGGUGGGGUAACGGCCUACCAAGGCGACGAUCCGUAGCUGGUCUGAGAGGACGAUCAGCCACACUGGGACUGAGACACGGCCCAGACUCCUACGGGAGGCAGCAGUGGGGAAUCUUGCGCAAUGGGCGAAAGCCUGACGCAGCGACGCCGCGUGAGGGAAGAAGGCCUUCGGGUUGUAAACCUCUUUCAGGAGGGACGAAGCCACUCGGGUUAAUAGCCCAGAGGGUGACGGUACCUCCAGAAGAAGCCCCGGCUAACUACGUGCCAGCAGCCGCGGUAA
rnacentral:rRNA from 1 species